CAGUAGCCACGGGAAUACGGAGGGUGCAAGCGUUAUUCGGAAUUACUGGGCGUAAAGCGCACGCAGGCGGUUGCCCAAGUCAGAUGUGAAAGCCCCGGGCUUAACCUGGGAACUGCAUUUGAAACUGGGCGACUAGAGUAUGAAAGAGGAAAGCGGAAUUUCCAGUGUAGCAGUGAAAUGCGUAGAUAUUGGAAGGAACACCGAUGGCGAAGGCAGCUUUCUGGGUCGAUACUGACGCUCAUGUGCGAAAGCGUGGGGAGCAAACAGGAUUAGAUACCCCGGUAGUCCCUGUCUCUUAUAC
rnacentral:rRNA from 1 species